rnacentral:rRNA from 1 species
AGUGAACGCUGGCGGUAGGCCUAACACAUGCAAGUCGAACGGCAGCACAGUAAGAGCUUGCUCUUACGGGUGGCGAGUGGCGGACGGGUGAGGAAUACAUCGGAAUCUACUUUUUCGUGGGGGAUAACGUAGGGAAACUUACGCUAAUACCGCAUACGACCUACGGGUGAAAGCAGGGGAUCUUCGGACCUUGCGCGAUUGAAUGAGCCGAUGUCGGAUUAGCUUGUUGGCGGGGUAAAGGCCCACCAAGGCGACGAUCCGUAGCUGGUCUGAGAGGAUGAUCAGCCACACUGGAACUGAGACACGGUCCAGACUCCUACGGGAGGCAGCAGUGGGGAAUAUUGGACAAUGGGCGCAGGCCUGAUCCAGCCAUACCGCGUGGGUGAAGAAGGCCUUCGGGUUGUAAAACCCUUUUGUUGGGAAAGAAAAGCAGCAGGUUAAUACCCCGCUGUUCUGACGGUACCCAAAGAAUAAGCACCGGCUAACUUCGUG